UACACUACUGGCCCACAUUUAUUUAGCGGGGAUGCUGAGGUGGCGUUUGCUCGAGUAAGAAAUAAGGUAUGUCCACUUGGUCUUGCUACAAGUAUUUUUUUUAUUUAUUCUUUUACUGUUUUGCUACUGUUUGAUAUGCAUAAUUCUUCAGACUUAAAAUCGCACAGUAUGUUUUGCCACCGUACAAAAGAAGAGGUAAAUGACUGUGUAUCAUCAUAUAAGAAUGCACCUUUUAUUGCGUGCUGAUUAUGUUUUUUUACUAUCCAAUAUUUUCUCGCGUUGACAAAAUAUUCUUGGCAUCUCAGUAUUUAGGCCUGGGAGGGCUCGAAGAGAGUGGGGAAGACGGUGAAUCAUAUAGUAGGAACAAAGUCACUCGACUGGUCCAGCACAAAGAACAUUUGUGUGUGCGCUCGUGCUCGCACGUGUGUCUGCAUAUGAUUCUUGAUUUUUUGUAGAGCUGAUGCAUUGGGCAUUGUGUAACCGUCCCGUAUCUUGGCGUGGCGAACCCGGAUGGCUGUGAUUUUGGGGGAUUUUAUAUUUCCCCAAUCGCAUGCAACCGGUGAUUCUGCAGUCAUGGGCGUGGUCGAAUGUCUCUUUGCCAGCUUGAACAACAGAUCUAAGCCUCAUUUCCUCU
rnacentral:lncRNA from 1 species